CAGUAGCCGCGGUAAUACGAAGGGGGCUAGCGUUGCUCGGAAUGACUGGGCGUGGAGGGCGCGGAGGCGGCGAUCAAAGUCAGGCGUGAAAUUCCUGGGCUCAACCUGGGGGCUGCGCUUGAUACUUGGUUGCUUGAGUGGGGAAGAGGGUCGUGGAAUUCCCAGUGUAGAGGUGAAAUUCGUAGAUAUUGGGAAGGACACCGGUGGCGAAGGCGGCGACCUGGUCCUUGACUGACGCUGAGGCGCGAAAGCGUGGGGAGCAAACAGGAUUAGAUACCCGUGUAGUCCCUGUCUCUUAUAC
rnacentral:rRNA from 1 species